CAAGGUUUCGUCUUUGGAGUAGUUAAUAAUUUCCUCAUUUGAAAAGGUUUUUAAAGCUCUAGGUAAACGCGGUGCUUCAAAGAACCGAUAUGGUAUAUUGCUACGGGAUUAUGGAGUGAAGAAACAAAGAGCACAUGCAGUUAGUGAUGACGAGUCUACUGGUAGAUUGAAGGAUCUGACAAAAAGGAUAACAAGAAAAAUGGCAAGUCGCAUGACGUUGGUGAUGACAAGGCUUUGAAGGAUAACAAGAAAAGGGCCAAGACGCAUGUCGUUGGUGAUGACGAGACUUUGAAGGAUAUCAAGAAAAAAGGGCAAGUUGCAUGCCGUUGGUGAUGACUAGACUUUGAAGGAAAUCAAGAAAAAGGGCAAGUUGAAGGGCAAGAUGAAGAAGUUUGGGAUAGUUUAGCGGAAAAUUCACAUGUAGUUUUAAGAUGAAGUGAUUUGGUACUGAUAUUGUCUUAUGAUUGGAUAUAAUUGCAUACUUAUAUCACGUUUUAUAUUUUUUGUUUGGGAUGUUUUUGAACAAUAUGUUUGAAAUGCUAAUGUUGAAUUUGUACUUUUAA